CGCCGUCCGCAGGCGUAGGAGAGCGGAUAGGAACGGGAGGCGACCCCGUGAAAAAGAGUA
rnacentral:ncRNA from 1 species